GACGAACGCUGGCGGCGCGCUUAACACAUGCAAGUCGAGCGAGAACCAGGGCUUCGGCCCUGGGGACAGCGGCGAACGGGUGAGUAACACGUGGGUAAUCUGCCCUCGGCACCGGAAUAGCCCGGGGAAACCCGGAUUAAUGCCGGAUGGCCCCUUCACCUCGCGAGGUGUCGGGAAAAGGUAGCUUCGGCCUCUGGCCGAGGAUGAGCCCGCGGCGGAUUAGCUUGUUGGCGGGGUAACGGCCCACCAAGGCGACGAUCCGUAGCUGGUCUGAGAGGACGAUCAGCCACACUGGGGCUGAGACACGGCCCAGACUCCUACGGGAGGCAGCAGUGGGGAAUCUUGCGCAAUGGGCGAAAGCCUGACGCAGCGACGCCGCGUGAGGGAAGAAGGCCUUCGGGUUGUAAACCUCUUUCAGGAGGGACGAAGCUACUCGGGUGAAUAGCCCAGAGGGUGACGGUACCUCCAGAAGAAGCCCCGGCUAACUACGUGCCAGCAGCCGCCGUAACAC
rnacentral:rRNA from 1 species